UACGGGGGGGGCAAGCGUUGUUCGGAAUUACUGGGCGUAAAGGGCUCGUAGGCGGCCAACUAAGUCGGACGUGAAAUCCCCAGGCUCAACCUGGGAACUGCGUCCGAUACUGGAUGGCUUGAAUUCGGGAGAGGGAUGCAGAAUUCCAGGUGUAGCGGUGAAAUGCGUAGAUAUCGGGAGGAAUACCAGUGGCGAAGGCGGCUUACUGGCUCAUUCCUGACGCUGAGGAGCGAAAGCGUGGGGAGCAAACGGG
rnacentral:rRNA from 1 species